CAAGCUAAGGUGUUUCUGAGAGCUGUUUCCUUGGGUGACGACUGCCAUAAGCAGAGAACUAAGGGUGACACAGGAGAGACACCUCACUGGAAUGGUAAUGUUUUUACAAGUAAAUACUAUCAUACUGUGCAGGAAAAAUACUGAUGGUCUGACUCUCAAGAUGGAAUAAAAGUGGAGAUGCAAGGAUAAAAAUAGAAGAACAGGAAUUUACUACAGUGACUGAAGAAAUAGAUGAAUGACAUCAUUAGGGCUAUAUAUAUAUAUAUAAGAAGUUAUAAUUUCUGAAUGUUUGAAUUGGCUUGGUUGACAAACUUUUUUUUCUAUUUUACUUUUAAUUUCAAAUGAUACAAAUAAAUGUCACUGGACUAACUUACAGGUAAACUUAUGCUUACAGUUCUGUGGUGUGUCAUUAAUAGUUUUCCGUGGCAAAAUAUUGUACCCAUAAUUCUGAGACAAC